UGUCCACUAACUAUGGACUAGUAUGAAAGGCAAAAUGAGGGUUUAACUGUCUCUUAUAGUAAGUCAAUUAAACUGAUCUACCAGUAAAAAAGCUGGAAUAAACACACAAGACCAGAAGACCCUGUGAAGCUUAAACUAAACUAUUAAACCACAUAAUAACUACUUUCGGUUGGGGCGACCUUGGAAAAAAAAGAACUUCCAAACUAGUGACAAUUAAUCACUCCCAGGCCAACAAGCCAUACACGACCCAGUACACCUGACAACUGAACCAAGUUACUCCAGGGAUAACAGCGCUAUCUUCUUCAAGAGCCCAUAUCAAAAAGAAGGUUUACGACCUCGAUGUUGGAUCAGGACACCCCAAUGGUGUA
rnacentral:rRNA from 1 species